CAUCUCUGUCCACAGCUAUUACUUGUGCUUGUUUCUGCCACUUGCUAGAGGUGCAGAGUUGAGGUACAAGUGAUGGGGAUGCUUGUCCUAUCAAUUUUUCUUGUCACUGAAUAGCCAGAAUCUCAUCUCUUACAGUCCUUCUUCAUCCCAAUGUAUGCAUCUUUCCAUCUCACAUGUUUCUUCCUAAAGACCAGCUUGCCAACUUGGUUGUUUUGGGAAUGUAACCACCUGUUUAUAUUCCCUAAUCUGCAUGCUGAGGGAAAGCAUUAAAGUGGAUUUUACUCUGUGCAUUGUUGCAGGGCCCUGGAUUUCAGGCUUUUUGUGCCUUUUUAUGUCUGAAGUACAUAAAAAUACUCACAGAGCAAUGGUGUGGGAGCAGUGUCCAAGGCAUCCCACAUAAUACAUGAUUUUGAGGCAGUCCUGCUCUGGUCUCUAUCCAGAAUGAUGUGUGCCACAAACACAAAUUCUUCAACAGAGUGGAGCAGUGUGAAUAAUUGUGAAUUACUGUGUCUUGUCUGUUUGCAGAUCUCAGAGAACAGCUUCUGGUCAUUGAAGGUGAAUGAGCAAAGUUUCUGGCACUUGUGUGACAAACAAAUCCUAGCAAGGUGUUUCCAAGCCUGGAGGAGAUACAUCCUUUGGAAGAGGGCAGCCACACAGCUCUACAGACACCAGCUGCUUCAGAAGGGCUUUGGUGCUCUGCAGGGGAUUGUGCACCAAAGGAGGACACAACUGGAGGUGGCCCAGCAGAGACAUGCUUCAGCUCUGCUAGCUGCCAGCUUCCAGAGGUGGAAGGAAGCUAUGGCAAAGCAGAGCCAGAAGAAAGCUCUGCAGCCUGAGCCUUACUCCUACACUCAAAGUUCAUCAGUGGGGAGUUUUGGAGUAGGAAGAUUGGCCACUAUGACAGCCCCAGCUCAGCAUCAGCUUCCAGCAGGAUACUCAAAGGAAGUGGAGCAGGCUCAUAGGAUGGAGGCAGAGCUGUGGACACAGUUUCGUCACAGGCAGAGAGGAGAUGAGUUCUGCUGGGGAGUUGAAGCAAUCAGAGACAUGAGGAGGCUGGCUGCUUUCAGACUGUGGCGCCUGCAGAAGGAGCUGCUGAGCAAAGAGGAAGCCAGGCUUUUGGAAGCCCGUGCUCUGCUGGAGAAGAAAAAGCUACAAAACAUUUUCUGGAUGUGGCAUUCCCAAAGCUUGGAAAUGAAAAAGAUUCUAACACUGACAACUCAAAUCCAAAGAAACUUGGUCUCCCGGUGCUUCAGUACAUGGAAGGAGACUGUUGAGCAGAAGGCACUUGACAGGUGCAACCUGGCCCAUCUCAGAGCAGUAUCACUGAGGAGGCACUUCCAGCAGUGGGUUGGGAUGCUGCAGGUCAGAAGAAGUGAUAAGCAGGCAGUGCUGAACCUCUUCCUCCUGCAGUGGAGGCAGCAUUAUGGUGAGCAGUUUGGGCUCUGUGCAGAAUCUAAACUUUAG
rnacentral:lncRNA from 1 species